rnacentral:lncRNA from 1 species
AUGAAAGAAACGCAGAGCGAAGGGUCCUUGGCCCAAACACAGGAUGGCAUGACCCAGCCAGGCACUUGGCUUUCUGGAAGGACCCUGUGCCCUUGCCGCCUGGCAGGUUCGACCAUCUGGUGGCCAUCGAGCUCCCGGGAAGGGCUGUGCGUGGCAAUUACUACAAUGCGGGAGAUGAAGAUCCAGCCCUUGGUGGACCCUGUGGGUAAUCCUUUCAGAUCACAGAGGAUUCCUGGAAUCUCGUCGAGGUCCUACGCCUCUCAAGGACUCUGUAAAGUGAGGACAACAGGGCCCUGGACAGGACACCCUGGGAGCAAACACCAUGAACUGCAUGGAUGCUGAACAGCAGAGACAGAUGUAGACAAGACACAGAGGCCAGGGGCAG